AUUAUAUUCAGUAUAAUAAGACUGGGUGCUGACUCUUCUGAUUUCAGGUCAGUUCUCCAACAUCGUCUGGAAAGUAAUAGCUGGUGCCGCUGUGGCUGUGGUUGAGGCUGUGGUUAUUUUGACAGGAACUUUCUCUCCAAAGGUCAGGCAGUGUCCAGAAGAAUGGAUAUGUUUUGGAGGGAACGGGUAUUCUUUUUCCACCGAUACAAAGAGCUGGGAUGACAGUAAGGAGUACUGCGCCUCACAUGGCGCAACGCUUCCUAUGAUAAAAGAGAAACUGCAACUGAUGCAAAGCUGAAGUGUUCCUUCCUAAACAGUGACAAAAUUGUUACUGUAGAUUGCACAUCUUCAAGACGCUGGAUCUGUCAGAGUCCAAAUGAGUCUUCUUCAUCUCCAGUGAAGUUAGUAGUGCAAGCGUUAGAUUUCUGGGUUAUUCGCCAGACACACUUCAGAAGCCAUGAUCACGCUCCUCUGACAAGCUGGAAAAUCAGUCUUAAAUCUGAAAAGCCUACAAUUCUAACCUGCCUAAAAUCCCAAAUUGCACAUUAAGGCCACCUGAGAAUAGAUGUAGUAAGGUGUUGAGGACCCUCAUGUCCCACUGAAGGUACUUGGCAGUAUUAGACACUUCUAAACAGUUAGAUACUUUAAGUUUGUAUACUGUAGUGUAACUAUUUUUUAAACUAGAUCAUGUACAAGUUUUUCAUUGUAUUAAUUUUUAAUUCAGAAUGUGAACAACAAAUGGCAUUAUUUUAAUCCAAAGAUUAUCAGUCAGAUUAAUACAGGAAAAGACAUAUUUUACCACCUCUUGUACUACACGAUAGAUAAGCUAAAGGGAGUUCUAAUGUGGUCAUAAUUAAUAACAUCUGUGACAACAGCAGCUCUUAAUGAGUUAAACAUCUUUUAAUGGGCCAUUAAUUUCAGUCAUUACAAAAAACAUUUGCUAUAACAAGUACCUCUUAUUAAUCACAGAACAUAAUUUGAGCAUAGACAUCCCUUAUUAGUUACCCAGUCUUAUUUGUAACAUACUUUUAGUAGACACUUAUUACUUUGAGGGGUCUUUUCUUUAGACAUUUAGAUUCCCACAAGCUUGGAGACACCAGCAAUAAUGAGGUACAGCCCAAUACUCAAUCACUGGAAAUUCCUGGACACAAGUCACUCACAGGCUAAGAACCAAUAGUCUUUGUUAAGUCCCAGAGUAUCUUUGAAUUCUAAUAUAAAAGAUUCUGGGGAAAUAGUUAAUAUGCAAAUGAAUUAAUAUACAAAAAAAAGGGAACUAAAAAGAUUAAUAUUUACCAACAAGUAGUUGUAUAUAAAACUCAGCUAUACAAUGUCUUUGUAUAUAUUUUUUUGUCUGUCUGUGCUUGUGGCUCUUGCUCUCUCUAUAUGUUUUUAUCAUAACUGACUGAGAUAUUAACACAUCUUCAGUUAUUCUGAUCCUAUUCAUGCUUUCUUGGAGGGCAUCUGUGCCUUGAGGGAACACCCUAAACCCUCAUGUUCAUCUUUAUAAAAUGAUUGUGCAAUAUCCAAUGCAAAGUUUGUCAUACUGAGU
ensembl:lncRNA